rnacentral:rRNA from 1 species
UGCCCUAUGGGUUGUAAACUGCUUUUAUAUAGGAAGAAACCUACUUACGUGUAAGUAGCUGACGGUACUAUAAGAAUAAGGAUCGGCUAACUCCGUGCCAGCAGCCGCGGUAAUACGGAGGAUCCAAGCGUUAUCCGGAAUCAUUGGGUUUAAAGGGUCCGUAGGUGGAUAAUUAAGUCAGAGGUGAAAUCUUGCAGCUCAACUGUAAAAUUGCCUUUGAUACUGGUUAUCUUGAGUUAUUAUGAAGUAGUUAGAAUAUGUAGUGUAGCGGUGAAAUGCAUAGAUAUUACAUAGAAUACCAAUUGCGAAGGCAGAUUACUAAUAAUCAACUGACACUGAUGGACGAAAGCGUGGGUAGCGAACAGGAUUAGAUACCCUGGUAGUCCACGCCGUAAACGAUGGUUACUAGCUGUUUGGACCUUGUGUCUGAGUGGCUAAGCGAAAGUGAUAAGUAACCCACCUGGGGAGUACGUUCGCAAGAAUGAAACUCAAAGGAAUUGACGGGGGCCCGCACAAGCGGUGGAGCAUGUGGUUUAAUUCGAUGAUACGCGAGGAACCUUACCAGGGCUUAAAUGUAAGUUGCAUUAGUUAGAGAUAGCUAUUUCUUCGGACCACUUACAAGGUGCUGCAUGGUUGUCGUCAGCUCGUGCCGUGAGGUGUCAGGUUAAGUCCUAUAACGAGCGCAACCCCUGUUGUUAGUUGCCAGCGGGUCAUGUCGGGAACUCUAACAAGACUGCCGGUGCAAACCGUGAGGAAGGUGGGGAUGACGUCAAAUCAUCACGGCCCUUACGUCCUGGGCUACACACGUGCUACAAUGGUCGGUACAGAGAGCAGCCACUACGCGAGUAGGAGCGAAUCUUCAAAGCCGAUCACAGUUCGGAUCGGAGUCUGCAACUCGACUCCGUGAAGCUGGAAUCGCUAGUAAUCGGAUAUCAGCCAUGAUCCGGUGAAUACGUUCCCGGGCCUUGUACACACCGCCCGUCAAGCCAUGGAAGUUGGGAGUGCCUGAAGUCCGUUACCGCAAGGAGCGGCCUAGGGUAAAAUCGAUAACUAGGGCUAAGUCGUAACAAGGUAGCCGUACCGGAAGGUGCGGCUGGAACACCUCCUUUCU